UGGGGAAUAUUGGACAAUGGGCGCAAGCCUGAUCCAGCCAUGCCGCGUGAGUGAUGAAGGCCCUAGGGUUGUAAAGCUCUUUCACCGGUGAAGAUAAUGACGGUAACCGGAGAAGAAGCCCCGGCUAACUUCGUGCCAGCAGCCGCGGUAAUACGAAGGGGGCUAGCGUUGUUCGGAUUUACUGGGCGUAAAGCGCACGUAGGCGGACUAUUAAGUCAGGGGUGAAAUCCCGGGGCUCAACCCCGGAACUGCCUUUGAUACUGGUAGUCUUGAGUGCGAGAGAAGUGAGUGGAAUUCCGAGUGUAGAGGUGAAAUUCGUAGAUAUUCGGAGGAACACCAGUGGCGGAGGCGGCUCACUGGCUCGAUACUGACGCUGGGGUGCGAAAGCGUGGGGAGCAAACAGG
rnacentral:rRNA from 1 species